rnacentral:rRNA from 1 species
GACAUCCCGAUGCUAUUUCUAGAGAUAGAAAGUUACUUCGGUACAUCGGUGACAGGUGGUGCAUGGUUGUCGUCAGCUCGUGUCGUGGGAUGUUGGGUUAAGUCCCGCAACGAGCGCAACCCCUAUUGUUAGUUGCCAUCAUUCAGUUGGGCACUCUAGCGAGACUGCCGGUAAUAAACCGGAGGAAGUGGGGAUGACGUCAAAUCAUCAUGCCCCUUAUGACCUGGGCUACACACGUGCUACAAUGGUUGGUACAACGAGUUGCGAGUCGGUGACGGCGAGCUAAUCUCUUAAAGCCAAUCUCAGUUCGGAUUGUAGGCUGCAACUCGCCUACAUGAAGUCGGAAUCGCUAGUAAUCGCGGAUCAGCACGCCGCGGUGAAUACGUUCCCGGGCCUU